rnacentral:rRNA from 1 species
UAGUCCACGCCGUAAACGAUGAUUACUCGUUGCAUGCAAUACACCGUAUGUGACUUAGCGAAAGCAUUAAGUAAUCCACCUGGGGAGUACGUUGGCAACAAUGAAACUCAAAGGAAUUGACGGGGGCCCGCACAAGCGGAGGAACAUGUGGUUUAAUUCGAUGAUACGCGAGGAACCUUACCUGGACUUAAAUGUAGCGUGACCGCAGCCGAAAGGUUGUUUCUCUUCGGAGCAGGUUACAAGGUGCUGCAUGGCUGUCGUCAGCUCGUGCCGUGUAGGUGUCGGGUUAAGUCCCAUAACGAGCGCAACCCCUAUUGUUAGUUGCUAACAGGUUAAGCUGAGGACUCUAGCGAGACUGCCACCGUAAGGUGAGAGGAAGGUGGGGAUGACGUCAAGUCAGCACGGCCCUUACGUCCAGGGCUACACACGUGUUACAAUGGACGGUACAGAGAGCAAGCUACUUGGUGACAAGAUGCGAANCUUUUAAAGCCGGUCUUAGUUCGGAUCGAAGU